rnacentral:rRNA from 1 species
AGUGAACGCUGGCGGUAGGCCUAACACAUGCAAGUCGAACGGCAGCACAGUAAGAGCUUGCUCUUACGGGUGGCGAGUGGCGGGCGGGUGAGGAAUACAUCGGAAUCUACUUUUGCGUGGGGGAUAACGUAGGGAAACUUACUCUAAUACCGCAUACGACCUACGGCUGAAAGCAGGAGAUCUUGGGACCUUGCGCGAUUGAAUGAGCCGAUGUCGGAUUAGCUAGUUUGGGGGGUAAAGGCCCACCAAGGCGACGAUCCGUAGCUGGUCUGAGAGGAUGAUCAGCCACACUGGAACUGAGACACGGUCCAGACUCCUACGGGAGGCAGCAGUGGGGAAUAUUGGACAAUGGGCGCAAGCCUGAUCCAGCCAUACCGCGUGUGUGAAGAAGGCCUUCGGGUUGUAAAGCCCUUUUGUUGGGAAAGAAAAGCAGCAGGUUAAUACCCCGCUGUUCUGACGGUACCCAAAGAAUAAGCACCGGCUAACUUCGUG